GAUGAAGAACGCAGCGAAAUGCGAUAACUAAUGUGAAUUGCAGAAUUCCGUGAAUCAUCGAGUCUUUGAACGCACAUUGCGCCCCCUGGUAUUCCGGGGGGCAUGCCUGUCCGAGCGUCAUUACAACCCUCAAGCCCGGCUUGUGUAAUGGGCGGCCGUCUCUCCCCCCGGGGGGAGACGCCCCCGAAACUCAGUGGGGAUGUCGCGAUACCGAAGCCUCAGCUAAUGGGUAAACCACAGCUGCAAUGGCCGCGGCCGGCGUCCGCCUUCCACGGUCCGUCCGCCUAGCGCGGGCGGUCUUCUCAAGGUUGACCUCGGAUCAGGUAGGGAUACCCGCUGAACUUAAGCAUAUCAAUAAGGAGGAGGA
rnacentral:misc_RNA from 1 species